rnacentral:rRNA from 1 species
UACGGAGGAUGCAAGCGUUAUCCGGAAUGAUUGGGCGUAAAGGGUCCGCAGGUGGCAGUGUAAGUCUGCUGUCAAAGAAUGAGGCUUAACCUCAUCAAGGCAGUGGAAACUACACAGCUAGAGUACGGUCGGGGUAGAAGGAAUUCCUGGUGUAGCGGUGAAAUGCGCAGAUAUCGGGAGGAACACCAGUGGCGAAGGCGGCGCUCUGGGCCGGAACUGACGCUGAGGAGCGAAAGCGUGGGUAGCAAACAGG